rnacentral:rRNA from 1 species
UGGGGAAUAUCGGACAAUGGGGGGAACCCUGAUCCAGCCAUGCCGCGUGAGUGAAGAAGGCCUUAUGGUUGUAAAGCACUUUAAGCGAGGAGGAGGGUACUGGUAUUAAUACUACCAGGUACUGGACGUUACUCGCAGACUAAGCACCGGCUAACUCUGUGCCAGCAGCCGCGGUAAUUCAGAGGGUGCAAGCGUUAAUCGGAAUUACUGGGCGUAAAGCGCGCGUAGGUGGUUCGUUAAGUUGAAUGUGAAAGCCCCGGGCUCAACCUGGGAACUGCAUCCAAAACUGGCGAGCUAGAGUAGGGCAGAGGGUGGUGGAAUUUCCUGUGUAGCGGUGAAAUGCGCAGAUAUAGGAAGGAACACAAGUGGGGAAGGCGACCACCUGGGCUCAUACUGACACUGAGGUGAGAAAGAGUGGGGAGCAAACAGG